AGGAGUCUAGGUUUUGCGGUUUUGCCGUUCCCUCUCUUUUUCGUUCGGCUUCGUUCCUUCGCAGGAGUGUAGAGUUUUGCGCGCUGUUCGACUUCGCUCCUUCGACGACGUUUCGUUCCUGUUGGAGCGGAAGUUACGACAUUUUUUGAUCGAAAGCAACAACGGGGGCUCGCUUGCUGUGAAGGUUUUAGGGUCCUCUCUAGGAAGAGACAAAGAAGGAUGGCGAAGCUCGGAAAGAGAGCUAGAAAGUUUGCGAAGAAGAACCUCCAGUCUAUUCUGAGGAAGAAGCGCAAGUUCAAAGCCAAGCUCAAGCACAAAGAUGCAUCAGUGGGUCACAAGGGCAAUGUUGAAAAAGCUGAUGUGUUGUCAUCUGAAGAACAAUCUAGCGGGUGA